GUUUCUUCUGGAAGAUGUGAUUCUAAAAGAAAAAGAAGGAAAUAUUUUAUAUGUCUAACUUUUAACCAGGAAUUGUGGGAGGUUUUCAAUGUUUAAGAAACUGUUUAAGAAGUUUUCUUUAUGAUCAAAAUAUGUUUAUUCUCUCAAUUUCUGAACCAAUAAUUGGCUUGUCAUUUUAAAGCCUUAACAAAGUUAUUGUGGCAAAAUAUUUUCUUGAAAAAUAAUGCAUCUAAUUUUCGACUUCCUGUGGCCCUACUACUAUCCUUGCUUCCCAAAACAAAGGUCUCCAACUCAGGCAAAUACAGUCUCUGCAAAGUGGAACUCAAAAUAUUAACGAGUCACUGCAAGAAAGAAUACAGUGUAAAGGAAAUUUGGAUGGGACUGCAAGUAAAAUCAAUGAAGUCUAUCCAAAUGUAGAUCCUGGAGGAAUACAAUCUGUGUCUCUUACAUCAAGAAAGACUUAGUACUCUCCAAGAAUACCAUUUUGUACCAAGUUCAAACUGGAGGAUCACAAGUCUUUACAUGUGACUUAGGAAACAGGAAGAAGCAACCAAACCAAUCUAAGUGAGGCUUCAUUAAGGAACCCCAAUUUCAUUAUGUUAUGAGCCCUGAUUUAGUCACUGAAACCCUUACCUACAAGGCAUCGGCGAGUUUGGGACUUAAGCAUUUGCUGCCUGAUCCUCCUUGCUUGGGCACUGCAUACCAACACCUUCCUUUCUACAGCUGCAAACCUUCCUUUACAUAUCUGGUUCUACUGUGCCAGAACAAAGAAUUGAUUCAAUGCCAGACUGUCUGGAGCCAGUAGAACUGAAGAAAAUGAUGACUACUAGGGAAUAGAUUUUAAUAUGUGUAAUAUGGUUUAGUUGACCACAAUUAUUAACAAUCAACAUAUCAUAGAAACAAUAUAUUGUUUUCCCUAAUAAUCAGGCCUGGGUCUACAGAGUUGUACUGAGAACAGGAUUAGUGUAGCUGAUGAUAUAUGAAGAGUUAUCUUUGUCACACAGCCUGAAAGAUUAUUAAAUGUCUACUUGGUCAAGCACUUAAAGCAUGCAUUCUUUAGCUAUCCUUUUCUCUCUUAAUUUCUUUUAUAAAAUUCAGGAGAUGUUCUGAUCUCUGAGAAUGUAAAACUUACAAGUGCAAAUUUAAACCUCCAAAUUGAUGAUAAUCUUUUGGUGGAUAUAGGCACAGAAAUAAACAAAAACAAAAAUAAAAAAAAAUUAUGUGUCAACAAAUGCUUAUUUGUCUAUAGGUAGAUUUUGCCAGCCCAGAAAUAGUUUCCUAGGUUUCAGC
rnacentral:lncRNA from 1 species